rnacentral:rRNA from 1 species
CAAAGGAAUUGACGGGGCCCGCACAAGCGGUGGAGUAUGUGGUUUAAUUCGAUGCAACGCGAAGAACCUUACCUGGUCUUGACAUCCCGGAGACCCUUAGGAAACUAGGGGGUGCUUCCAUCUGGAAGAAUCUGGAGACAGGUGCUGCAUGGCUGUGUCAGCUCGUGUCGUGAGAUGUUGGGUUAAGUCCCGCAACGAGCGCAACCCUUGCCUUUAGUUGCCAGCAGUUCGGCUGGGCACUCUAAAGGGACUGCCGGUGUUAAACCGGAGGAAGGUGGGGAUGACGUCAAGUCCUCAUGGCCUUUAUGACCAGGGCUACACACGUACUACAAUGGCCGAUACAAAGGGCAGCGACACUGCGAGGUGAAGCCAAUCCCGUAAAAUCGGUCUCAGUCCGGAUUGGAGUCUGCAACUCGACUCCAUGAAGUUGGAAUCGCUAGUAAUCGUGGAUCAGCACUGCCACGGUGAAUAACGUUCCCGGGCCUU